AAAGAUUAAGCCAUGCAUGUCUAAGUAUAAACGAUUUAAUCGUGAAACCGCGAAUGGCUCAUUAUAACAGCUAUAAUUUACUUGAUCUUGACACAAUCCUACUUGGAUAACUGUGGUAAUUCUAGAGCUAAUACAUGCAUUAAAGCUCUGACCUCACGGGAAGAGUGCAUUUAUUAGAACAAAACCAAGCGGCUUCGGCUGUUUCUGGUUGACUCAUAGUAACUGAGCUGAUCGCAUGGUCUUGCACCGGCGACGCGUCUUUCAAGUAUCUGCCGUAUCAACUUUCGAUGGUAGUGUAUCUGACUACCAUGGUGAUCACGCGUAACGGAGAAUAAGGGUUCGGCUCCGGAGAGUUCGCCUGAGAAAUCGCGAACACAUCUAAGGAAGGCAGCAGGCGCGAAAAUUACCCACUCUCAGCACGAGGAGGUAGUGACGAAAAAUAACGAGACCGUUCUCUUAUGAGGCCGGUCAUCGGAAUGGGUACAAUUUAAACCCUUUAACGAGUAUCUAUGAGAGGGCAAGUCUGGUGCCAGCAGCCGCGGUAAUUCCAGCUCUCAAAGUGCAUAGAAUUAUUGCUGCGGUUAAAAAGCUCGUAGUUGGAUCUGUGCCAUAGGACGUGGUCCACCUUCGGGUGCGUACUACGCUCCUAGGCUUUUUGCUGGUUUUCCCGUCGUAGCCUUCACUGGUUGCGGCGGGUGGCUGGCGAGUUUACUUUGAGAAAAUCAGAGUGCUCAAUACAGGCGUAUCGCUUGAAUGAUUGUGCAUGGAAUAAUAGAAAAGGAUUUCGGUCCUCUUUUAUUGGUUUUGUGGACUGAGAUAAUGGUUAACAGGGACAAACGGGGGCAUUCGUAUCUCUGCGUGAGAGGUGAAAUUCUUGGACCGUAGAGAGACGCCCUACUGCGAAAGCAUUUGCCAAGAAUG
rnacentral:rRNA from 1 species